rnacentral:lncRNA from 1 species
CCAAAGUUUAAACGACAACACACGUCCUCCGGGACUUAAAGGAAACAACAUACAAGAGAAGCUAGUUCUCUCGAUCGCUUUCACGGUCGUUGAGGGCGGAGAGCUCCGAAGCCCUGACACUCAAUUCACGGGCAGCUGGAGAGGUACGCGCUUCUUCCAGAGUCUCGCCAGUUUCCUCCUCAUUGCCUCGACGAGAUUCCUCUGGUGGCGUCGUGUCGCGACCCUCAGCUGAAGUGUCCGAGAGCACGAAGAGGGAGCGUUACUUCCAACAACUCGAGUUCCCCGACUAAGUGCUUCUUCCUCAGGGGCGAUCGAAGGAUUCUCG